rnacentral:rRNA from 1 species
AUCGAACGCUGGCGGCAUGCUUAACACAUGCAAGUCGAGCGGAGUGGCGGACGGGCGAGUAAUGCCUAGGAAUCUGCCUGGUAGUGGGGGCUAACGUCCGGAUACGGGCGCUAAUACCGUACAUUUUGAGAUGAGCGUAGGUCGGAUUGGCUAGGUGGUGGGGUAAGGGCCUACCAAGGCGACGAUCCGUAACUGGUCUGAGAGGAUGAUCAGUCACACGGGAACUGGGACGCGGUCCAGGCUCCUACGGACGGCAGCAGUGGGGAAUGUUGGACAAUGGGCGAAAGCCUGAUCCAGCCGUGCCGCGUGUGUGAAGAAGGUCUUCGGAUUGUGAAGCGCUUUAAGUUGGGGGGCGUUACCAGCAGAAUAAGCACCGGCUAACUACGUGCCAGCAGCCGCGGUAAUAC